CCUACGGGCGGCAGCAGUGGGGAAUAUUGCGCAAUGGGCGCAAGCCUGACCCAGCAACGCCGCGUGAAGGAAGAAGGAUUUCGGGUUGUAAACCUCUAUUAUGGGGGACGAACAAAUGACGGUACUCCAGGAAUAACCCACGGCUAACUACGUGCCAGCAGCCGCGGUAAUACGUAGGUGGCAAGCGUUAUCCGGAUUUCUUGGGUGGAAAGGGCGUGUAGGCGGGAAUGCAAGUCAGAUGUGAAAACUAAGGGCUCAACCCAUAGCCUGCAUUUGAAACUGUAUUUCUUGAGUGCUGGAGAGGCAAUCGGAAUUCCGGGUGUAGCGGUGAAAUGCGUAGAUAUACGGAGGAACACCAGUGGCGAAGGCGGAUUGCUGGACAGUAACUGACGCUGAGGCGCGAAAGCGUGGGGAGCAAACAGGAUUAGAUACCCCUGUAGUC
rnacentral:rRNA from 1 species